GAGCCACUCAUUUAAACUAUUUAAUACUUAAUUGAUUACUGCUUUUCUCUAGCAAAAUGCUCUGGCAAGCUGUGUGGACCUCAAGCCUCUUGUAUAUACCAAUAUUGAAUCUGCAUUGAAAGAUGAUCUUUGUUUAGUCAUUUAACAGUGGUUUGAAAGUAUUUCACAGAAGUAUUUUUAAAAUCAUUUUCAUAAAUCAAAUGUUUUCAAAUAGCCUAGUUUAAAAAAAAAAUUGAAUGUAAAUGUAUAAUUAGAUUACCAAAAAGGUAUAAGGAUCAACUUAAAAACACCAGACCAACUUUUACUAUAUAUUUAAUCAAUAAACAUCUAGGCGAUUGUAUAUAGUAGAAAGAUUAUGGCCCUUCACUGUAUUUAUUAAGUAAUCAAGUUUGAUUAGUGUGAAUGUGGUAUUAUUUCAAUUCCACCAUUUCCGUCCAAAAUCUUCUAGUCUGAGAGAAAAAAAACAACAACAAAGGAAGAAAUUGAAUAAUGGAAUCUAUAUGAAGGAAGUGAGAAAGAUUUUAUUGCUAAAUAUGAAAGUUAAGGUGACUUAAAUAUAUCUUAAAUUUCCUUUUCAGAAAACUUAAGGUACUCUGAUCCUCAGCCAGGAAGGAUAACUCUUGAAUUUAUUUAACUCAUAAAGUCUCAAAAUGAAGCUUGUAAAAUAACGAAAUCUUUGCAUACAACAAUUUUCAUUUUAUACCUUUCAAUGUGCUUCAAGGUUCUUUGAAGUUCUCAGAAAGGUCUUAUAAAAAGUCUAAAUUUUUACCCCAUAAAAGUAUUUUAAAAUUACAUAUUUAAAGAAAUUGAGGUUAUUUUUAAUCUAACCAUAGACACCAAUGUUUAUUAACAUGAUAUGAAAUUCAAAGUGAUUAAUGGUGUUUUGUAAUGAUAGAAAAAUUUUUGUACACUAUGUAUUGUAAAAUAAUCAAAGUAAAUGGAAGAAAUGAAGUACUUUGUAUAGAUAGAAAUUGUGCAAUUUCUUCAAAAGCCUGGAUACCUAUGAUUUUUAUUUCUAAAAUGUGUUUUAGGUGUUUUUAUUUGCAUUUCCUGAAGAUUUAUUUGAGAUUUACCGAUUUUUCCUAUAUAAUAUCAUUAACUUUACAGAUUAAGUUUGAAAAAUUAUGGGUAAAAGAAUAAGAAUUCAGGGACAUUUUUGUGAGCAUUUUCAAUUAGUCAAUGCCUAAUUUUUAGAACCCGAGGACUGGAGUACCUUAAUUUAGUUAAUGUUUAUUGAUGUUCUGAAGAAAAUAGUCCAUGAUGUCAGAGAGCAUUUAAUGUUUGUUGUUAUGGUUAGAUGAAAAAUUCCUUGUUUUGACAGUUAAUGGUUUUUCUAUUUAUGUGCUUUUUUUAGAGACCCAAAAGUUAUCUUAAGGUCAAAUCUUCCAAAAAUAGCAUCACUCAACAACCAUUGUCUUAUAAACACUGUAAGAUCAUUUGAUGAUAGACAUGAAUCAGGAGUAUUGAUUUAUAAACAGGUGAAAGGGAGAAGGCAGGUAUAUCUUACCAAUACUAGAUUGUUGUUCUUCAUUUUAGCCAACAUAAAAUCAUGCAGAACAGCUCAAAAAAUGCCAGCCUCAUAAUUGAUUUUCUUGUGAGUUUUGUUUCUUGGCCCAUUUUGAAAAGGCAUUAUUUUUGCGAUAAUUGUCAUGGUUAUUUGAUAUCAAUGGUUGAAGGUUAGGUUCAGAAUAAAUCUUUCUGAUACCUUGGUAUUAUGUAGCUACUAGGAAAUGCCAUCUUUAAUCAUAAUUGUGUGUACCGGUGUGUGUUUUCGUGAAAAUUUUAACAUAAUGGUGAAAGCAUUAUUGAUCAACACUGAAAGAAAGUUUUUUUAAACAGUAGCUUCUUGUAAAUCUAUGAUUUUUUUGUUGAUAUUAUUUUGUUAGGUAUUUACCAGAAAUCUGGAAAUUUUUGCUGUAGAUAAAUUUUUAGCAAAUUUGCGAGUUCAUUGCAUUCGCAAAAAUAUUUUUCUUAAAAAUAAAUUACCAAUAAGAAAAUGUAAACAAAACAGUGGUAAUUCGCAAAAUUUUGAAACGUAAGAAUUGAUCAACACCAUUUUGACCCUAAUUCGCAAAAUAAAAUCGACGUAAAAAUUUCCAGAUUUACGGUACUACCUUACAAUUGGGGAUGAUUUUACUGUAUGAAAUCAGCUAAGGAAUAAGUCAGACCAAUUUUUAAGUAUUAAAACUAUUGAUUUGUGUUUGAAAUCAUACAUUGAAUUUUCAUUGGAAGAGAAAUAUUUGCAAGGGUGUUAGUUAUAUAUGAAGGAGUAUGUAUACAUGUAUAUGCUAUUUAUUGAUUAUUUUAUUGAAAGUAAAUUUUGUGUUAGUGCUAACCAUCAUGACUAUACAAUCUAAAAUUUAUAAAUUUAGUUUGGCAAGACAAAGUUUUCUCAAGGCCAUUUUUCAAGUCUCUCCUAAAAAUAAAGACUGGUGGCUUACAUUUGUUUUGUCAGCAUUUUAAAUUAACAUUUUAUGCUGAAGUUAAAAUGAAAACAGAAAAAAAGGCACAUUGUACUGGAGAGAAAAAAAAAACCCUUAAAAGUAGGUAGAAUGUUUGUGCUUUUAUUGGACUUGAUCACAUUGUUGUUUGUGUUUUAAUAUGUGUGUAUACAUGUAUGUUAUUGCAAUCUCAUAGUUUUAGCCUGAAUUUCCUCAGCUUAAAAGUCUGUACAUUUGUGUAGCUGGACCAACCGUUGUGAUAUAUAUUUGCUUGCUUUUGGAAUAUAAAGUUUCUGUAUAUUUUUUCUAUGUGAUAAUAACAUGGCCAAUACUAGUAAAUGUGUACAGAUUUAAGAGUAUUAUUAAAGAAAAAGCCAUGCAAUUGUGCAAUAUUGACAAUUAAGAAACAUCAAGUUAGCCCAUAAUGAUUGUGUACAGACAAGAGUUUCAUAUGUUAUAGAUUUAGAAGAAAAAUUGAAACACUUCUAUGAUUUUCAUUGGCUUUAAUUUAAGGGUACAGAGAAUCAUGUUUUUUUGUAUGUUUUUGGAAGAUUUGUAGUAAUUGAUAUCAACAAUUUCAAGCAUCAAACAGUGAUGGACUGUCAACAAACUGAUUAGGUUUAGAUUGAAGAAAACACAUUUUAAAAAUUGUGUUUUCAAUUUACAAAAUGUUUUCAUCAACAUAUGAGAAGACACUGGAAGUAUUUUAUCAUCAAUUUUACAUGAUGUCAACCUUUAUGAAAACUCUAGUCAUUUGUUUGCACUUUAAAAUGAGAGAACUUUUCAUUCGUUCAUACAAUCAUUAUUGUAACGAUAUCACAUCAUGAUUAUUUUAUGUGAUGUUUAAUCUUGUGUUUUACAGUAAAUUCAUACAAAAAUUUGAA